UUAUUAUUAUUAUUAUUAUUAUUAUUAUUAUUAUUAUUAAAAUAGUACAGAUACAACAUAUCAGACAAACACAAAAUGCAAAAUCAACUGAAGAGAAACAAAACAGCACAUUACAAGCCUAAUUUUAUGCUGCUUUCUUGAAAUAACUCAUCAUUUGAAUUUCUAACUACUUUGUUCCCUCCGAUGACGCUGCAGCCGACCCUGGGUGUGGUGAAGUACAGUGACAUGCGGCGGCUGACCAUCGCUGAUCUGCAGGGACUCAUCGAGGGUGCCUACUCCAACAUGGGGAUGGGGCACCGCUUCCUGUGCCACGUGGAGUGGACACACUUCCUCCUCUUUGUGGUAGACAUCAACAGCUUCCGGCUGUCACCCAAACACCCAUACUGUUCACCCACCGAGAAUGUCAUGCUGGUCAACAGGGAGUUGGAGCUGUAUUCACCUGACCUGCUGAGUAAGCCAGCACUCCUUGUGGUGAAUAAGAUGGACUCCCCCAAUGCUGAGUCUUGCCUGCAGGAACUCCUUCACAACUUUAAGAGGAUGGAGGAUGAGUACAUGGGAACAUAAGAAUACAAGGGAAGCUGCAAGAAUCUGUCAACCCACAAUUGGCAUUUCCUGUUAGAAAUGCCUUCUGAUUUCUACCUAUCAUCCUCAUACCUAAAUUUAUUUGGUCUUCUUUUAAAAGCUCCAUAUUGACAGGACAUUAACAGCCAUAAGAAAAUAGGGGAAGCUGCAGGCAGCCAUCAGUCCUUAACAUGACAAUCCCUGUAUGAAACAUGCCUGCCUAUUUCCACCCAUCUCCCCCAUCCACAAGUUUGUUUAGUUUUCUUUUUAAAGCUUCCUAACGACUCAGCACUAACAACCAGAUUACUGAGUCUAUUCUAUUCAUCAACCACUAUAUUUGAAAACUUUUUCCUUUGUAUCUCAUUUAAAGCUAGCUUUAUCAAGCUUGAACCCACUAUUUCUUGUCCUAUCCUGAUCACUGAACCUAAGGAUUUUGCUCAUGUCAUCCUUGUUAUAUCCCCUAAGUAAAGACCUGAGGGAGGAAGAGAGUAGAGACAUCUUUUAUCAUUAUCUUUUCAUCUCGUUUACUCCUUCAUUCCUGUUGGUUUAAUAUUCUGUGUUUGAAGCACCAAGCCAACUGAUUAUGUGGGACUGAGAUUGUUAUAGUUAUUUUAUACUAUAUUAGGUGAAUAGCCUCUCCAUUAGGGGCUGAUAGGACUAAGAGUGUGAAUGAUGUGUGUAUGAGUGGAUGGUGCUUUGUCUGGGCCACCCUGUGUGGGAUUGCCAACCUGGUAUAUGGACAGAUGGACAGAUAGAUACAUGGGUCAAUAAUUUGGAGCUUGGAUAUGAAGAAAAUGUAAAACUAGUGGAGACGUUUCAAAGGACACAGGGAAAAAAGCUGCAGUGUUUUAGCCAUGUGAAGAGAAGAAAAGAGUCAUAUGUCAGGAGAAGUGUGAUGGAGAUAGAGGUGCAAGGCAGGAGAGCAAGAGGAAAACUAAACCUUAUAUGGAUAGACUGUGUAAGGGAGGACUUGAGACAGAAACAAUUGUCAAAGGAAAAUAUAUAUGACUAUGCUUGGAGGAGAGCUGGCAAGAACAAUGACUCUAUAGAGACUAGGGAAAAGAUAUCAAGAAGAAGAAAUUAUGGAGGUGUAAGAAUUAAUAAGGGAAUUAUCGAGGUGUUUGGGCUGUGGGAGGCUGUGGAAGACAGUGCCUGAAAGUCACCAAAUUCAGGGUAAAUCUUCCACCAUGGUCCAGGAAGUCAUCAGCCAGUAGAGAUGAGUCCAGAGCCUGACAUACCACCACCUAGUAGGAGGGAAUGUAUUUAUAAAUUUCUUGAAUAGAGUAUAGUUGUCUUACAUGGUUAAAUGUCUUGUAGGGAUUUAAAUCCUGCUAUAUUUACAGUCAGUGCAGGCCGAGGUGAUCUGGAAGUCACACCCUGAGCCUCUUUCCCUUCUAAUGUGGCUGCUGACUGGUGCUCUCAUAAUGUUCUUGACACUUCCUCAAAUAUAUUUAAGAUAUUUUCUAUCACCAUAUUAAUUAAACUUUCCCCAAACAGUUUUUUUUUUUUCAUAUCAACAGGAAAACGGAGUAUUAAACCUUCUGGAAACAAAAAUGUGUCAGCAAUAAUUCAAGUCAAGGAUAACAUUGAAAAUGAAACAUAAUAUUGAAAAUGAAAACUGGAAUCAUGAUGCCUCUUGUGGUUGAGUCGUCCCAGUAGUAGUGCAGUGACUCUCCUUCACUAGGAAUUACUAAAGACUAGUGUUUCUUAUUGUUACUGAAAAAGGACAGAAUAUAUUUUCUAUCUUAGUUUAAGUAAAUUAAAUAGAUGAAAGAAUUUUUGCCUUUGUCUUUUCACGAAAUAAGCCUCACUGGCUUUUGAAGUGAGAGUAAUGAGCUCAUUAUAUUUAGUGAAGCACUCUCCAAAGUAAAGUCCUCUCUUUUGUAAAGAAUUUCCUGUAUGUAUGGAAUGAUAUCACAGCCUUGUGUAACACAUUCAUUACCUGGUCAACCUACUGUGGAAGGGAACAUUGCUACCAUUCCAGUAUUUUGUAAAGUGUGUUCAUGUUCAUCUUUGAUUCCUGCUCUUACAUGUGAAUCUUUCCUGUAAAUUGAAAAUGUUUUUAAUGCCUUUCUGCACUAAGUGACGUUUCACAUGAAGACAUUUUGAUGCAUGCAUUCUGUUCAUAAGAGGGUCUCAAGUGACAGUCAUAGUAAUAAUCACUGGACUGAUGACUGACGUCUGGGAAUGUCAAAAUGGUGACUAAGAAUGUCAGACUAUUAACUAUUGACUGGAGACUGGUGACUAAGAAUUUCAGAGUAGACUGGUGACUUAGGAUGUCAUUUAGGAUAGUGAGUAAUGAUGAGGAUCUUGAUUGAUGAGUGGUGCCUGAGGAGUGUGACUGGUGACUGGUGAUUGAAGGUGCGUCAUGGGUGACUUUAUGUAUUUGACUGGUAAAAUGGAAUGUCUCUUAGGAUAAUGAGUACUGACCAUGAUUUUUGACUGGUGAGUGGUGGUGUUCCUGGGUGGUGUUAACAACUGGUGUUCCUCACAGACUAUGUGUUGUGUUGCUCCUGUGGUGCCAAACUCACAGAGAACUCAUGGGAUAACUUUGUAAACAUCUCCAUUCCACUGUCUGAGGCAUCCCAGCUGGUGACCAUCCUGGGACACCCCCACCUCAUGGUCCAGACCCUCAGGAACCCUGCUGACCUUGCUUUUGACUUGGUGACUGUCAGGAGGUCAGGCUGCUCAGGAGUGGGAGAGGAUAUUUGAACCAGAAAGCAAAGCCAGCACAACCCACUUCAAAGCUUCCUUGGAGGGUUUCUAUGGACUCAUUCUAGAGAAACUGGUCACUGAGAAAUUGCAGUGUCCUAAACACAGAGGCAGUUAGUCUCCCUAUUGAAGCAGGCUGAAGAUAAACACUAGAGGCAACAAGAUUCAAUCUACUUUUACAUUUCAGACUCCUCAUUGGCCUUUCCAAGCACCAGCAGUAUUAGCACAAUGGCACAAGAUGGGGAGGACAUGGUGCCUCUCGACCCCGAGCUUCUGGCUGUGCUGGAGGAGGAAGCAGCCUCUCGCUAUACUGAGGAGGAU